AGAGUUUGAUCCUGGCUCAGGACGAACGCUGGCGGCGUGCUUAACACAUGCAAGUCGAACGAGAAUCUGUGGAUCGAGGAUUCGUCCAAGUGAAGCAGAGGACAGUGGCGGACGGGUGAGUAACGCGUGAGGAACCUGCCUUUCAGAGGGGGACAACAGUUGGAAACGACUGCUAAUACCGCAUGAUACAUUUGGGUGGCAUCAUCUGAAUGUCAAAGAUUUAUCGCUGAAAGAUGGCCUCGCGUCUGAUUAGCUGGUUGGUGAGGUAACGGCCCACCAAGGCGACGAUCAGUAGCCGGACUGAGAGGUUGACCGGCCACAUUGGGACUGAGAUACGGCCCAGACUCCUACGGGAGGCAGCAGUGGGGAAUAUUGGGCAAUGGGCGCAAGCCUGACCCAGCAACGCCGCGUGAAGGAAGAAGGCUUUCGGGUUGUAAACUUCUUUUAAGAGGGAAGAGCAGAAAACUGUACCUCUAGAAUAAGCCACGGCUAACUACGUGCCAGCAGCCGCGGUAAUACGUAUGUGGCAAGCGUUGUCCGGAUUUACUGGGUGUAAAGGGCGUGCAGCCGGGAAUGCAAGUCAGAUGUGAAAUCCAUGGGCUUAACCCAUGAACUGCAUUUGAAACUGUAUUUCUUGAGUACUGGAGAGGCAAUCGGAAUUCCUAGUGUAGCGGUGAAAUGCGUAGAUAUUAGGAGGAACACCAGUGGCGAAGGCGGAUUGCUGGACAGCAACUGACGGUGAGGCGCGAAAGUGUGGGGAGCAAACAGGAUUAGAUACCCUGGUAGUCCACACUGUAAACGAUGAAUACUAGGUGUGCGGGGACUGACCCCCUGCGUGCCGCAGUUAACACAAUAAGUAUUCCACCUGGGGAGUACGAUCGCAAGGUUGAAACUCAAAGGAAUUGACGGGGGCCCGCACAAGCGGUGGAUUAUGUGGUUUAAUUCGAAGCAACGCGAAGAACCUUACCAGUCCUUGACAUCCAACUGACCGACCAGUAACGUGGUCUUCUCUUCGGAGCAGUUGAGACAGGUGGUGCAUGGUUGUCGUCAGCUCGUGUCGUGAGAUGUUGGGUUAAGUCCCGCAACGAGCGCAACCCCUAUUCUUAGUAGCCAGCAGUAAGAUGGGAACUCUAGGGAGACUGCCGGGGAUAACCCGGAGGAAGGUGGGGACGACGUCAAAUCAUCAUGCCCCUUAUGGGCUGGGCUACACACGUGCUACAAUGGUGCUAACAGAGUGAGGCGAGACUGUGAAGUUAAGCAAAUCACAAAAAUGGCAUCUCAGUUCGGAUUGUAGUCUGCAACUCGACUACAUGAAGCUGGAAUCGCUAGUAAUCGCAGAUCAGAAUGCUGCGGUGAAUACGUUCCCGGGUCUUGUACACACCGCCCGUCACACCAUGGGAGUUGGGAAUGCCCGAAGCCGGUGACCUAACCGUAAGGAAGGAGCCGUCGAAGGCAGGCUCGAUAACUGGGGUGAAGUCGUAACAAGGUA
rnacentral:rRNA from 1 species